GCAUUAAUGGUUCAGUGGUAGAAUUCUCGCCUCCAACGCGGAAGGCCCGGGUCCGAUUCCUGGCCAAUGCA
rnacentral:tRNA from 1 species